UUCUGCUAGAGAAAAGUGGGGAUUGGGGUGGGGAGAUCAUUUUUAGGAGUGGGUGAAACUGGGAUGGAGGAGGUACGGGGUGGGGCACAGGGUGGACCAAGUGAAGUGGAACGGUGGAAAGUAGGUACCAGAUUUGGAAAAGCUUGGGAGUAGGUAUGCAGUGGGUGGUGCUCAUGUUGUACAGGCAGGGCAGUGGCAGUUCUGGGUCCAUCUUGGUUUGUUUUGUGUGGAAGUGUCUGUACUUCUUAAAGUUUUUCUCAUGCACUUGGAAGGGAACCAAGCAAAUGUGGGUCUGACUUCUGAUUCCCCCAUCAACUGGCUUUGUGGCUUUGGGCAAAUCCUGUCCUAACCUCAUUUCUUCAUCUGUAAAGUGGGGGUUGUGCCUACCUUGAAGAGUGGUUUUAAGGAUUAGAGAUAACAUAUGCAAAAUCCUCUCUAGGAUAUUAGCAGGCUCUUAGAAACAGCAAUUUUACAAGUUGUUAUUGUCUAUUCUCUGCUGCAAGAAAGGUCCUAUUCUUGUCAGGGACAUGUCCCUUGGGUCACUUCCUUUGAUCUCCCCAGGUUUUCUUCUGAGGGUACCAUCCUCCCAACUCCCUAGGCUAUUUUUCAGAGCUCCAGACUUGCCUCCUGUAUGAAGACCAGCCUGAUCCUUCCAGCAAAUGACCCUCCUAUGAACAUUCUGAGAAGCAGGUUCAACUCUCUUAAGCCACUUAUUGCAUUCUGCAUAGUAGAAUAAGUGUUAGUGUUCAUAGUCCACUCCUUCUGUUAGAAAAUAAGCCCUUGGAAGUUUGAGAGCCUCCAGGCCUCUUGGAACCAGCUCUGACACCAGGUGGUGAUCAUACUCCCUGGCAGCAGUUAUCAUCCCAAGUACUAGAGGGCAGAGACUGGGCUUCUUCCUCUCCAGCACUUGGGGUGCCCUGUACAUGUGAAACACUCAACUGACUGACCACGUGAUCCCAGGAGAGCAGUGAGGAUGCUCCUGAUAUAGAAGAGCAGAAAAUCCCUUUGGAGCAGAACCAAGGCUUUCCUGUGCCUCACUGAUCCUCUCUGUUCCUGCCAGUCUAACUGACCUGCAAAGCCUUUGCACCAGAGCUCCUCCUGCCAAACCUAUUCCGUGUGUGAGAAACUCUAUUUUCCUAUGGUAUCCUAUACCCUGAUGACCCUUCCCACAUUCUACCUUGUAUUACGGUAAACUUGUGUACAUGUUUUUGUCCUAAUCAGCCUGUAAGCACCUUGACUGCUCUGUCUUCAUGGUUUAAAGAAUAUCUUACAUGUGCACAACCACUUCAUCUGUUGCCUCACUUGACCCUCACAAUGGAGCUGUGAGGGAGGUACUUUCUGCUGGAGACAGACAUGGAGCAGGGAACUGAUUUGCUGUCUCUCAGCAAUAAAGGUUUACUGCAUGAAUAAGGAUGACAAAUGAGAAUUCUGGACUAUCCCCCCCCCCGGGCUCCUGAAUAAUCCCAGGCAUUCAAGGGUACUUCUCUUCUGCUAUUACAAUGAAUUACAUGUGGAGCUAUGAAGACUUCGGGCUUGAACAGUUGCCGCUAGAGCUCUCCAUCUUGCUGGAAGGGCUUCUUCCAGGCCUUGGUCAGGAGGCUCCCUGGGUGCUACAUACAGGAUUUUUUUGAGGAUAUGGAGAUGCGCAGGACACAAUCCCAGCAAUCCAGGUGCUUACAGGCUGAUUAUACAGCCAUACACACAGAGUGCCACGACGCAAAAUAGGAUAUGGUAAGGGUCAUGCAAGUUCAGAGGAGAAAGCAAGUGUGGCUGAUAAACAUCACGGAGCAGUGACCUUCAUGGACAGACAGAAUUUGAGCUGGCCCUUUAACCAAUGAGGAGGAUUCAAACAGAGUUUGUAUUAUCCUGAGAAGAAAUUCCACUAAAGAUGAAUAGCAGAGAACUGUGUUCAGAUGAAGAAACUGAGGCACAGGGAAGUUAGGUAAUUUGUUCGGACAGCUGAUGAAUGGAGAACCAGGAUUUGCAGUGAGAAUGAAUUCAACCAGCUUCUCUCAUCUGGAAAUGCUAUGAAGAAACCGAAUGCUUCACAUUUGGAAAAUGGGAGAUUAACUGAAGGAAGUAUACUAGAAGACCUUGAUUCAGCUCCUCCUGCUAGCUUGUGGUAUAGUUCUGCCACUAGUUUGAUGUGUGACCAUGUGGAUGGGGUUUUGCCAUGUUGCCUAGGCUGGACUCAAGCAAAUUCCUGGACUCAAGCAAUGCGCCCUCCUUGGCCUCCAGAAGUGCUGGGAUUACAGGCAUGAGCCACCUUGCUCAACCUCUUCUCUUUACUAGGGUUUAGCUUCCCAACUGAUGAAACAGAAUCAGGCCAGUGGUUUUCCUACCUUCUUUUAGCCAAAGAACCCUUUCUUCAAAUCAAAUUCUACAGAGAAGCCCAAUACAUAAAAUAGGUAAAUGCAACUCAGCACCCCCUACCCCACUCCCACUAGGUUCUUUCUAUACCUCCUCACACCUUGGGGUUCUGUGGCACAUUAAUGGAAAAGCACCUCUGAGUUUCUUCUUGCCUUCGCCAGGACUUCAUGAUAAACAAAGACAGUUUUCUCUACUACUAACUGAUCAGCGCAAUCUCAUUAGCAUCUCUUCUGCCAUGCAUUUUGAUCUUGCAGGAAUUGUAAUAUGGCCUGUCUCUCAGAACACAGUGUAGUAGAUGAUAGCUCAGCUCUGGAGUCAGAAAAAUCCAGGUGUGUACCUUGGCUCUGCCUGUCUGAUAGCUGUGUGACCCAGGAUAUAUGCCUUAACUUCUUUAGUUAGCUACUUUCCUUCUCUCUAAAAAUCGGCUAAUAAUAUCUUUGUCAUGGUAUAAUGUGAUUACAGGAUGAGUAAGAAUGUAUUUUAGGCUCAAAGCCUGGCAUAUAGUAAACACUUUAAAAAGGAAAGAUUAGUGGGAUGUGCCCCCCAUGCCUCCAUCCCCGGCUCCUUAGGUGUAAACUCUGAGCCACACAGGCUCUGCUGGGGACCGGGGAGCAAUGUCUGUAGCCCAGAGUCUCACCAUCCUAAUAUAGACAGAAGGAAGCCUGGCUACCCUCCCUACCACCCAUUGUUCUAGGCUCAUCUUCACUGGAGUUCUAGGCUCACUGUUCUCUCAUCUUCCCGGUAUAGGCAGGAGCUGGGCAUACAACAGUUGUAACUAAGACUUUCGGGCAAUUCUGGCUGGUAAGGGCUCCAUACUUUGAAGCAAGCAGUCUCCACUGAACUUUGUCUUUGCCCCUCUGUGGCUUUAUUCCCUAAGUUAAGCCUAAACUUACUGACAGCUAAGAAUGGUACUGAUGCUUCCCCAUAAAUGUCUCUUAUGCAUCAUCCUAUCCCUCCCAAAAGACUAUGCAGGGGGAGUACAGUAACUUUUUAGGGUUCACUGUGCAGCAGAAAAUGACUUCUUCAAUGUUUUCUUUAACUCCCACUUCCUUGGCCAUAGUUUAUUGGCUCUGGGGUAGAAAUCUGAUAGAAUUUAGGGAUCCCAAUUAAGGGAUUUUAUUGAUUCUGAGCUGCUCUUUUGAAGCAAGAAAAAACUGGUCUGCAGAGAGAAGUGGAAAUGAAUGAAUACAGAGGUUCUACCCAGUGGAUUUAAUUCCUGGUUUCAGUUUUGCUUGAGGCUGGGUGUACUUGUUCUUAAAUCAUGUGACACACCUCAAUAUCCUCAAAUAAAUGCCCCCUUUUUUAUUUAAAAAAAAAGUUAGAAAUA